rnacentral:rRNA from 1 species
CAGUCGCCACGGUAAUACGUAGGUGGCAAGCGUUGUCCGGAAUUAUUGGGCGUAAAGGGCUCGCAGGCGGUUUCUUAAGUCUGAUGUGAAAGCCCCCGGCUCAACCGGGGAGGGUCAUUGGAAACUGGGAAACUUGAGUGCAGAAGAGGAGAGUGGAAUUCCACGUGUAGCGGUGAAAUGCGUAGAGAUGUGGAGGAACACCAGUGGCGAAGGCGACCCUCUGGUCUGUAACUGACGCUGAGGAGCGAAAGCUAGGGGAGCAAAUGGGAUUAGAGACCCGUGUAGUCCCUGUCUCUUAUAC